UAGGGUUCGAUUAUGGCUCAGAACGAACGUUGGCGGCACGCUUAACACAUGCAAGUCGAACGAGAAACCCGAGCUUGCUCGGGUGGACAGUGGCAGACGGCUUAGUAACGCGUGGGUAUCUACCUAGAGGUUUGGAACAACUAUUGGAAACGAUAGCUAAUACCAAAUAUUCCCUAAGGGGGAAAGAUUUAUCGCCUUUAGAUGAGCCCGCGUCGGAUUAGCUUGUUGGUAGGGUAAAGGCCUACCAAGGCAACGAUCCGUAGCUGGUCUGAGAGGAUGAUCAGCAAGAUUGGGACUGAGACACGGCCCAGACUCCUACGGGAGGCAGCAGUGGGGAAUAUUGCGCAAUGGGGGAAACCCUGACGCAGCGAUGCCGCGUGAGUGAAGAAGGCCUUAGGGUUGUAAAACUCUUUCACCGGUGAAGAUAAUGACGGUAGCCGGAGAAGAAGCCCCGGCUAACUCCGUGCCAGCCGCCGCGGUAAUACA
rnacentral:rRNA from 1 species